ACGGCCGCGGUACUUUGACCGUGCAAAGGUAGCAUAAUCACUUGUCUUCUAAAUAAAGACUAGUAUGAACGGCAAAACGAGGGUCUAACUGUCUCCUCUGUCCACUCAAUGAAAUUGAUAUCCCAGUACAAAAGCUGCAAUUAAACAACAAGACGAGAAGACCCUAUGGAGCUUAAAACACACUAGAAAGUACAGUAAUUUUUUUAUCAAUUUCAUGUACCAAUUCCACAAUGUUUUUGGUUGGGGCGACCACGGAGAAUACUAAUCCUCCGAGAUGAUAUACCAGGAAGACAAUCCAAAAUAUCAGAAAACUGACAUAAUUGACCCAAUAACUUUGACCAACGAACCAAGUUACCCUAGGGAUAACAGCGCAAUCCUCUUCAAGAGCCCAUAUCGACAAGAGGGUUUACGACCUCGAUGUUGGAUCAGGAUAACCUGACAGUGUAACCGCCGUCAAAGGUUUGUUUGUUCAACAAUUAAAAUCCUACGUGAUCUGAGUUCAAAAC
rnacentral:rRNA from 1 species